GCCGGCGUGGCGGAAUGGCAGACGCGGCAGACUCAAAAUCUGUUGAUGGCAACAUCGUAUGGGUUCAAGUCCCAUCGCCGGCA
rnacentral:tRNA from 1 species